rnacentral:rRNA from 1 species
UAGUCCACGCCGUAAACGAUGUCAACUAGCCGUCGGGCUCAUUUAAGGGUUUGGUGGCGCAGCUAACGCGCUAAGUUGACCGCCUGGGGAGUACGCCGGCAACGGUAAAACUCAAAGGAAUUGACGGGGGCCCGCACAAGCGGUGGAGCAUGUGGUUUAAUUCGAUGCAACGCGAAGAACCUUACCUACCCUUGACAUCCUCAGAACUUGUUAGAGAUAACUUGGUGCCUUCGGGAAUUGAGUGACAGGUGCUGCAUGGUUGUCGUCAGCUCGUGCCGUGAGGUGUUGGGUUAAGUCCCGCAACGAGCGCAACCCUUAUUCUUAGUUGCCAGCAUGUAAUGAUGGGGACUCUAGGAAGACUGCCGGCGUAAGCCGUGAGGAAGGUGGGGACGACGUCAAAUCAUCAUGGCCUUUAUGCCUAGGGCUACACACGUGCUACAAUGGUGCAUACAGCGGGUAGCGAAAUCGCGAGGUGGAGCUAAUCUUGUAAAGUGCAUCCCAGUUCGGAUUGG